CCGCGCUGGAUGGCUCCUCUGGGAGGCAGGCGUGGGGGUCGGGUGUCGGAGGCCCCGUGCGCCCCCCCACCCCCCACCAGAGCCCACGGCGCUCACGGAGCUCUUUAAGAUAAAUGAGCAAAAUUAAGAGACUCACUGGGGGAAGAAAACACUGGAUGGGAGCGAGCGAGAGCGGAUGGUACUUGGUUUCCUCCCAGAAAUGCAUCCACGUGCGCCCCACUGGGGCCUCCCCCAUCUGCUGCAGACUCCAGGGAACUUCCUCCCCUCAAAGACGAACUUCCAGCCCUGGAGCAUGUUUCUUCCUUUCCUGGGAUGUGGCGCUGAAAAGGGCAGAAACCUCUAGUAAGGCACAAGCAACAGAUUGGGGGUGGAGCAGCAGGUCUCUUUGGAGGUGGCCUGGAAGAAACCGGACAGAGAGGAUGGGAAGGGGAGAAACAGAAGAGUGUGACGAGAUCAUGAAGGAAAGAGGAGGCGUCUACUGAAUGUAAGGUAGAGCCAAAGGCAUCUAUUGAUGACUGAAGAAGAGGCAUGAAUAUGACAAAAACAGGAAGGUAAGACAUGACUUUCACCUUCCGCCAUGAUUGUGAGGCCUCUCCAGCCAUGUGGAACUGUAAGUCCAAUAAACCUCUUUCUUUUGCAAAUUGCCCAGCAAUGUGAAAACAGACUAAUACAGUGGGAGAUUACUUCUCCAUACCCUCUUUGUCUGCCAACCAUAUCACCUCUGCUGUUUCCUCUCCCCAAAAGGUAACCCAUGUUAACCUCUGAUUAUGAUCAAAUAAUUAUAUGUAUUUAUUUAUAUAAAUACCAUUUCUUUAUAUAUUUUGAACAUAUUAAUGCAUACACAAGUGUGCUAAAGUUUAUAUUUCUACUGCUCUCACCAUCUGUAGCUUGUAUGAUUUACAGAAUUUCAUGAACAAAAAUACAUGAAGUAAAAGGAACCAUUAUGAUGUAAAAGCAUAUAGAUUAAUAAUAUUCUGCUUACUAACAGUUUCUUUUUUCUUUUUUUUUCCUUUGGAGAUGGAUUUUCUCUGUUAUCGCCCAGGCUGGAAUGCAAUGGCAUGAUCUUGGCUCACUGCAACCUCCAUCUCCUAGGUUCAAGCGAUUCUCCUGCCUCAGCCUCCCGAGUAGCUGGGAUUACAGGAGUGUGCUAUCACACUCGGCAGAUUUUUGUAUUAUUAGUAGGGACACGGUUUCACCAUGUUGGUCAGGCUGUUCUCAAACUCCUGACCUCAGGUGAUCCACCUGUCUUGGUCUCCCAAAGUGCUGGGAUUACAGAUGUGAGCCACUGUACCCAGCCUACCAGUGGUAUUACCCAGGGAUAUGAAUAGCUAAGCUAUACUUUAGGCACAAACCAGCACUAUUAUCAAGAUGCAAUAUGUGAACUCAUCUUUCUUCUAGCAUCAGUUCAGAAUUAAUUUUAAUCUGUGUAUUGUAUACUGCUGCCAAAAACUCAUUAACCACAAUUAAAUUAUGAAAGUACAUGUGUAAAUUUAUGGAUAGCAAUACACAAUCCAAAAUAUGAGUUUGCUAUAAAAAUAAAGUAUAUGGGUAGAAUCAUAUUAAUUAUAAGUAACCAGAACUGUUAAUAAGAAAUUAAUAUUAAAAUAUAUUGAAUUUGAUAUUUCCAUAACUGAAGUAAACUAAUUUAAUAAGCGAACCUAACAAGUCUAAAAUAUCAAAGGAGAAUAAGAAUAAAGUUUAUUAUUAAACAUACAAGCUAUGGCUAAUCAACAUACUUUCUUAUAUUUCUUGAUAAUAUGUUGAAUUUACUUUUGAGCAUGUUUUGAAGAGGUAGUUAGUCAAUCUUUAUGUCCCUUUUGAAGAUAUGAUGAAAUAGUUACAUCUCUAUUAUGGAAUAACAUGAAGUGGUUUAAAAAAUGAAUGAUGUAUGGUCUGGCACGGUGGCUCACACCUGUAAUCCCAGCACUUUGGGAGGCCGAGGCAGGUGGAUUAUCUGAUGUCAGGAGUUCAAGACCAGCCUGGCCAAUGUGGUGAAACCCCAUCUGUACUAAAAAUACGAAAAUUAGCCAGGCGUUGUGGCGGGUGCCUGUAAUCCCAGCUACUUGGGAGGCUGAGGCAAGAGAAUUGCCUGAACCUUGGAGGCAGAGGUUGCAGUGAGCCAAGACUGCACCAUUGUACUCCAGCCUGGACACCAUGAGCAAAACUUCGUCUCAAAAAAAAAAAUGAUGAAUGAUGUAUUUCUAAUUCUAGUGAGAAGGAAAGAGUAUCAGUGCAUAUUGUCAAGUGAAGAAAGCAAACUCCAGAACAAAGCCUAU
rnacentral:lncRNA from 1 species